CGCGGUAUUUGUGAGUGUGUUCCUCUUCUUUGCAACGCUACAUCAAGCUGUGUGUUCAUUCCGGUGUUGUUGGCUGAAGCAGAACGGACGUCUCCCCUCUCUCUCUCUCUCUCUCUCUCUCUCUCUCCCUCUCUCUCUCUCUCUUUCUCUCUCCCUCUCUACCUCUCUCCCAGUGAAGCCUGCUGCUGGUUCAUCUGUCUGUAGACGUGACCCUGCUGUUAGCUGGGUGAAAGCAGGAUGCACACUUCAGCACUCGUCCACAUGGACUAACCGAGAAGCCUGAACCACAGGGCACUGGAGAUGAGAGCUCACACACACGUUCUCUUGUGAAUGGAGCAGGGUGAGGAGUGAGAAUGCGUUUUCUGGCCUCCCGGGUCCACUACAAGACCCUGAUAGUGAUUUGUGCCCUGCUUACUCUCGUCACCGUGGUGCUGUGGAACAGGUGUACCAAUGAGAAGGUGUUUCACACCCUGCCCCGUGCACCUGUAGCUCCACCCAGCCCUGGGGUGGCCGUACUUCAACACGAGGCCCAGCCCCCUGAGCCGCCGCCAGUUGUUGGAGGUGGAGUCCGAUACGAGGAGAUCGACUGCCUCAUCAACGAUGAAAUCACUAUUAAAGGGAGGCGCGAGGGCUCCGAGGUCUACAUGCCCUUCAACUGGAUGGAGAAAUACUUUGAGGUGUACGGCAAAGUUGUUCAAUAUGACGGCUAUGACCGCUUCGAGUUCUCACACAGCUAUUCCAAAGUGUACGCACAGAGAGAGACUUACCGUCCCAACGGAGUCUUCAUGUCCUUCGAAGGGUACAACGUGGAAGUCCGUGACCGAGUGAAGUGCAUUAGCGGCGUGGAAGGAGUGCCUCUGUCAACACAGUGGGGACCUCAGGGUUAUUUCUAUGCCAUCCAGAUAGCGCAGUAUGGUCUAAGUCACUUCAGUAAGAACCUGACAGAGCGAGCACCCCAUGUGGAGGUGUAUGACACGGCGGAGGAGCACAACAGCAAACCGAGCACAUGGAGUGUUCCCAAGGGCUGCACUCUCACCACCAGCUACGACAAGACCCGCGCCUCCACCGUCCGCCUGUUUAACGCUCCAGAGAACUCUGAGGGUAUCUCUUUGUCUCUUGGCAACACAAAGGAUUUCAUCAUCUCUUUUGACCUGAAAUUUGCCUCCAAUGGCACUGUAUCUGUCGUACUGGAAACCACAGAGAAGGGACCUCCAUUUGUGAUCCACUACAUCACUACCAGUCAGCUCAUUGCCUUUAAAGACCACUCCAUCACCUAUGGCAUUGGUCCUCGUUCAGCCUGGACCACAGUGACCCGGGACCUCCUCACCGAUCUGCGCAAAGGCAUUGGCCUGUCCAAUACUAAGGCUGUCAAAGCCACUAAGACCAUGCCACGGCGGGUGGUCAAAAUGGUUUUGCAUGGUCGAGGUGCCAUUGACAAUGUGUCUAUUUCCACUACGGCUCACAUGGCUGCCUUUUUUGCUGCCAGUGAUUGGCUAGUGAAGAACCAAGAUGAGCGUGGCGGUUGGCCAAUAAUGGUCACCCGCAAGCUGGGUGAGGGCUUUCGACCCUUAGAGCCUGGCUGGUACUCAGCAAUGGCACAAGGCCAGGCCAUGUCUACCCUUGUAAGGGCGUAUCUGCUCACCAAGGACGAGACAUUCCUGAAAGCAGCACUGCGUGCCACAGGUCCGUAUAAGGUGCCAUCAGAGAAGCAUGGUGUCAAAGCAGUCUUCAUGAACAAGUAUGAAUGGUACGAAGAGUAUCCAACCACACCAAGUUCAUUCGUCCUCAAUGGCUUUAUCUACUCUCUAAUUGGGCUCUAUGACCUGGCACAGACAGCAGGUGAAAAGGACGGACGUGAUGCAGCAAGACUGUAUGCCAAGGGCAUGGAAUCGCUUAAGGCCAUGGUGCCACUAUAUGACACUGGUUCGGGCACCAUUUAUGAUCUACGUCAUUUCAUGCUAGGCACAGCACCCAACCUGGCACGAUGGGACUACCAUACUACGCACAUCAAUCAGUUGCAGCUGUUGGCUACCAUUGAUGAUUCACCAAUCUUCAGGGACUUCGCCAAGCGCUGGAAAAGCUACAUGAAAGGCGGACGAGCCAAGCACAACUAGAGCUGCAAGCAUUGGUGAAAAAAUACCUGCCGCUACUUGGCAUAAAAUGCCUCAAUCCCUAAGGGGAAGCUGAGUUAGCCCAUGGAGUAAGAACUUAGGGUAAAUCCCAGAGUGUUCUAACUAAAUCCUGCUGCAGUUUCCAGCCAUUAGCCAUGGCUAACUUGUCUGGGUUUUCGGGGCUUGAAACUAAUCUGUGCUGGAGGCUUUAAAUAAGUACAAAUCUAAACGUGUGAAGAAAAAAAAACGCAAAAGUGUGUAUGUUUGAAUUGGGGUGGGGAUUUGCUUUACCUAAAUCUGCUGUUGAGGUAUACAGCACGAUUAGAUGUUCGCACACACGUCGGCGUGGGGAUGUCACGGUGAUUAUCACAAUUCUCUUCCAAAAUUCUCUCUUAAUACUCGUCUAGACGUCAACCAUAAUAAUAAUAAUAAUAAUAAUAAUAAGGAAAACACUAAGUAAUAUCUCCUCACUAUAAGUAAAUAGUCAUUUUGGUCAAACAGAAGUAGUAACCUGGGAAAUGCUUCCAAGAGUUUGUUGUCUCUGUGAUUUGAGCUAAUCUCUGACACAGACAUAGUUCUUUGCUCAGGCCCCACAAUUAAAUUUGUGUCCUUCCAACCCUACCUGCGUGCUCCCUUACACUAGGUGUGUUUGGUAAAGCUGGGGAAAGGCUUGUCACUACAUUUACAUUCUCAAAAAGUUCGAGUUUGGGUAUUCACAACACAAUGCUCUUCUGAAACGGCAGUGCAUUUGUAAUAAAGGAGCUUAUUCAAGAGAAUAUAAAGAUACUCAAAGGGUGAUCCUAGAGCCAGGCCCAGACAGUCUGUGGUUCAUAGUGAGUCAUAGUGUCAGCCAGCUUGUUGUUAAUGAUUACACUACAUAGGAUGACAAGGCACCAGUAAUUUGAUUAAGUAUUGCUUUGUUAAAACAAAGACACACAACAGUUGCAGAAAUUAAUCAAACUCUAAUAUGCUAUAUGGCCAAAUGUGUGUUUACACCAAACUAUCAGACCUUUUAUUUGUUUACUGAACAUCCUACUAUAGAUGUCAUUCCCCCUUUCUUUCUAUAAGUCAGUAGCUUUUGGGAAAGUUUUUCACUAGAAUUUGAAGUGUGGCUGGUGGGAUUGUGUUCAUUCACUCAGAGAAUCAAUGAGAUCAGGUGUUGGGUGAGGAGGACUGAGGUGCAAGGUUCCAGUUCAUCACAAAGGUUUUCAUUGGAGUAGAUGCAAGAUCUCAGUGCAAGACGUUCAAUUUCUUCAACAUUAAUCUGUGCACAGGGGCAUUGUCGUGCUGGAACAGGUUCUGGCCUGAAAUGCAAUAUUCAGAGAUACAAUUGUUCUUCAGAAAUUGUGGUAACAGUUUGGGGAAGACUCGCAUAUGGGUGUCAUGGUCAGAUGUUCAUAAACCUUGGGCUACAUAGUGUAUAUUUCUCUUAUUAGAACUUUGCUAAAUACAAACAGUUUAGGUUCAGUUUAAAAAAAAAAUGAACAUGUCUGAUUGUUAACACUAACUCUAACUUCGAGUAGAAUAUAUUUUAUAUCACUUGUUUGAAUUGGGAAGAGGAAUAUGUUUAUUUCCUUGUAGGCUACAUUAACCAUUACAUAUAGCAGUGAAAUGGAAGUGUCGUCAUUUUGGAGAUUAAUUUUGGCGACUUGAAAAAAAAACCCCACAAAUCUAAAGGGUUGAAAUACACGAUAUCUCAGUAAAGUAUAAAUCAUUGGGUAAGAAUUUAGUGUGAAUUAUUUGUUGCACAACAAUCAAACCUGCCAAAAUUGCCAAAAGGCACACAGGAACCAAUAUGAAGCCUUAAUGGAGAACGUUCAUUAGGUCACAGAAAUAUGUAAUGCUGAGUUCACUGGCUUUCUAACAACAACAACAAAAAUAUAUAAAAAAAAAAAAAUUUAGCAAGUCUGUAAAUGUUUCUUAGGACUAGCCAGGUGCAAUCUCCUGAAUGUUGAACUUGAUUGAGUAUUAAAUCCACAACAGAUCUGGUUGAUUGUGACUCACAUGUAGCAGCAAUGUGACCCAGUGAAUUUCCCAGCGUUCCUCUGUGGCAGGGUGACUGAGAACAGUUUACUGUCUACUCCACAGUUCUACAGAAACUCGUCAGUAGCAUGACCGACCAUUUGCUGUCAUUCCCCAGCAUCCUAACCAAAUGCUAAAAGCUGUAGGGACAAAUUGUCUUCAUAAAACGGAUCCAGAUGCCAACAGUCCAAACCUAGUUGUUGCUCCCAUUUUGUUCAGUCACCUCCAAGAGUGACCGCAUCAUUUGGUUCCUUUGUGUAAAAUGGCCAUUUCACAUGCGUCUGUGGUCUUGAAACAGUUUCCACUUAUAUAUAUAUAUAUAUAGUUUCUACUCAGCCCUCUUGAAUUGAAAAUGAAAUUGUAUGUAUUGUUGAACGCAGCAUUGUAGCAUGACUCAUUUCCCUUCUAUUUUUUUGCCCACUUUCUUUAAACCAUUAGCUUGUCUUGGUCUUAGAACCAUAAGCUGAUGGAAUGCCUCUAGGAAUGCAGACUGGUAGAACAUCUGGCUUGGUACAGUAUGUUGUGUGUUCAUCACACUGCAGUGAAUCGGUUCAGUGGAGCAGAAGCAAAGUCCUGAACUGGAAGCAGACCCACAAGGAGUCAGUCACGUGUGACAUAUGCAAUAAAAAGGCGAGACGGCGAGAGCCCCGAGAGGCUGGACACAGUUUGCAAUGCAAGCACAACGUGCACACACACCACCAUUUUUAUGCAGGAAAAAAAAGGUUUAUAUUAAAAAAAAAAUAAAGUUCAAUCUUUGUGCUUUAAAUUGCUUUUUAAAGUUGUAAAAUAAAGGCAUUUUUUGGUAAAA